rnacentral:lncRNA from 1 species
ACUUUUCUAAUAUGGAAUUCACAAAUUUGUAGAAUAGUCUACCAUCUGAAAUAGUGUUCAACAUCUGUCACGACAUUAAAAAAACAUCUAGAUUCAUCUUGGGUUCAUCAAAUGUACAAUUGCAAAAUGCUGAUGUACUGUUAAACUGAAGGUGGUAAUAAAGUUUACAAAGUUUGCUCUGACCGAAUUUUUCAAUGAAAAAACAAUAUGUGUGCUAUGAAUGUAAUCUGUUUUUCAUGGCGCAUCAAUGAAAGUUUGGUGUAUUGGCCAAAUCACUUGCAAGCAUCUUGCCUUUAAACUGCCAUACAUAAAGUCACGCUUUUGAAAUAACUGAAAGCAGCUGAAUAUAAGAAUUUUUUGAUGAACUUUCUUACUUCGGUUAGAGGAGAUGAGAAACAGCUUACAGCGGCAAUCUUAAUACAGCUAAUGGCCAAAGAAGUAUGUUUUUCAUACUCAGUGUAUGGAAUGAAACAAAAACGUCCUGCAAGGUCGUUAUAGAGUUGCGUUUAGUCGUUUAUCGUUAUAUUCGUUCAUUUCGAAAUCGCUACUGACAAAAGUA